AUAAAGUUCCUUUGGGUAAGAAGUACUACUUGUCAUAAAAAAUGGAUGAAAGGAGAUGUAUCUAGACGUAUUUUAGUUCUAGAUACGUCCCUUUUUAUCCAUUUUGAUGACAAGUAUUUUCGGACGGAGGGAGCUUAUA
rnacentral:pre_miRNA from 1 species